GAUGAACGCUAGCGGCAGGCCUAACACAUGCAAGUCGAGGGGCAUCAUGGCGUAGCAAUACGCUGAUGGCGACCGGCGCACGGGUGCGUAACGCGUAUGGAACCUACCCACCGCAGGGGGAUAACCCGCCGAAAGGCGGACUAAUACCCCAUGGUUCCCCGACCCUGCCUGGGGUUGGGGGUAAAGCCUACGGGCGGCGGUGGAUGGCCCUGCGUGCCAUUAGCUGGCUGGUGGGGUAACGGCCCACCAGGGCGACGAUGGCUAGGGGGUCUGAGAGGACGAUCCCCCACACUGGUACUGAGACACGGACCAGACUCCUACGGGAGGCAGCAGUGAGGAAUAUUGCGCAAUGGGGGCAACCCUGACGCAGCAACGCCGCGUGAGUGAGGAAGGUCCUAUGGAUUGUAAAGCUCUUUUCUGAGGAAAGAACAUCCGGGGUAGGAAAUGACCCCGGCUUGACGGUACCUCAGGAAUAAGGAACGGCUAACUCCGUG
rnacentral:rRNA from 1 species